rnacentral:rRNA from 1 species
CCUACGGGAGGCAGCAGUAGGGAAUAUUGGGCAAUGGAGGCAACUCUGACCCAGCCAUGCCGCGUGCAGGAAGAAGGCGUUAUGCGUUGUAAACUGCUUUUAUAUAGGAAGAAAUAGUCCUUGCGAGGAAAGUUGACGGUACUAUAUGAAUAAGCACCGGCUAACUCCGUGCCAGCAGCCGCGGUAAUACGGAGGGUGCAAGCGUUGUCCGGAUUUAUUGGGUUUAAAGGGUGCGUAGGCGGUUUAUUAAGUCAGUGGUGAAAGACGGUCGCUCAACGAUUGCAGUGCCAUUGAUACUGGUAGACUUGAGUGGGAUUGAGGUAGCUGGAAUGGAUAGUGUAGCGGUGAAAUGCAUAGAUAUUAUCCAGAACACCAAUUGCGUAGGCAAGUUACUAAGUCUCAACUGACGCUGAGGCACGAAAGUGUGGGUAUCAAACAGGAUUAGAUACCCUGGUAGUCCACACUGUAAACGAUGAUAACUAACUGUUGGCUUUCGGGUCAGUGGUACAGAGAAAUCGUUAAAGUUAUCCCACCGUCGGGAGGUAACGGUCCGGCCGACGGUUAGUAACGUUACGAAAGUAGAAGUUAGACGGCGUUGAGACGUUGCCGACGGACGACGACGAGGGAGGAGG